UCAAUCCUUCGGGGCAGGGUGAGGCCACGCGGCCAAUUCCCGAUCGGUGGUGAUCCGACACAGGUUCGGCGAGUCCACGAGCCAGAUAGGCAGGAACUGGUGAGAAUCCAGUACCGACGGUACAGUCCGGAUGAAAGAAGGAAUCG
rnacentral:ncRNA from 2 species